AACAAGCAAAGAGAAACAAAUAACUGUAAUUGAGAGGAUUCAUUGUACUCGUCCUCCCUCUCCUCUCUCUUCUCCCUUGGGUUUGCAGAUCCAUCUCUCUCCUCUUUUCCUUUGCUCUUUCUCGAAACACCGCAGUAUAAUGAUCUCCCCUGCGAGCUUGUGCAAAGCUAUUUGGAUGAAGUAAAUGACAUCAAUUUGUGGCGUUGGAUUUCAAUUUUGGAGUUUCUACUCGAGAGUUGUGUGUCCCGACAUUUAUUGGACCAUGAAGUAUUGAAAGAGAAAGAAGUGAAAAAUCAUGUAAAUCAAUCUUGUAUUAGUUGUGUGUCCAAUUAUAUAAUAUCAAACAUUUCGAGUUGUUUGAAGUAUUAGCAAUCUGAGCAUUUCUAAGUUAA